rnacentral:rRNA from 1 species
UUAGCAUAUCAAUAAGCGGAGGAAAAGAAGACAACAGGGAUUGCCCUAGUAACGGCGAGUGAAGCGGCAACAGCUCAAAUUUGAAAUCUGGCUCUUUCAGAGUCCGAGUUGUAAUUUGCAGAGGGCGCUUUGGCUUUGGCAGCGGUCCAAGUUCCUUGGAACAGGACGUCACAGAGGGUGAGAAUCCCGUACGUGGUCGCUAGCUAUUGCCGUGUAAAGCCCCUUCGACGAGUCGAGUUGUUUGGGAAUGCAGCUCUAAAUGGGAGGUAAAUUUCUUCUAAAGCUAAAUAUUGGCCAGAGACCGAUAGCGCACAAGUAGAGUGAUCGAAAGAUGAAAAGCACUUUGGAAAGAGAGUCAAACAGCACGUGAAAUUGUUGAAAGGGAAGCGCUUGCAGCCAGACUUGCUUGCAGUUGCUCAUCCGGGCUUUUGCCCGGUGCACUCUUCUGCAGGCAGGCCAGCAUCAGUUUGGGCGGUGGGAUAAAGGUCUCUGUCACGUACCAUCCUUCGGGAUGGCCAUAUAGGGGAGACGUCAUACCACCAGCCUGGACUGAGGUCCGCGCAUCUGCUAGGAUGCUGGCGUAAUGGCUGUAAGCGGCCCGUCUUGAAACACGGACCAAGGAGUCUAACAUCUAUGCGAGUGUUUGGGUGUCAAGCCCGAGCGCGUAAUGAAAGUGAACGGAGGUGGGAACCCGCAAGGGUGCACCAUCGACCGAUCCUGAAGUUUACGGAAGGAUUUGAGUAAGAGCAUGGCUGUUGGGACCCGAAAGAUGGUGAACUAUGCUUGAAUAGGGUGAAGCCAGAGGAAACUCUGGUGGAGGCUCGCAGCGGUUCUGACGUGCAAAUCGAUCGUCAAAUUUGGGCAUAGGGGCGAAAGACUAAUCGAACUAUCUAGUAGCUGGUUCCUG